rnacentral:tRNA from 1 species
CGUUAGAUGGCUGAAUAAAGCAAUGGAAUUUUAAACCAUAAUAUAGUAACUUUACUUCUAAUGA